rnacentral:rRNA from 1 species
UGGGGAAUAUUGGACAAUGGGCGAAAGCCUGAUCCAGCCAUGCCGCAUGAGUGAAGAAGGCCUUUGGGUUGUAAAGCUCUUUUAGUGAGGAAGAUAAUGACGGUACUCACAGAAGAAGUCCUGGCUAACUCCGUGCCAGCAGCCGCGGUAAUACGGAGAGGGCUAGCGUUAUUCGGAAUUAUUGGGCGUAAAGGGCGCGUAGGCGGAUUAGUAAGUUAAAAGUGAAAUCCCAAGGCUCAACCUUGGAAUUGCUUUUAAAACUGCUAAUCUAGAGAUUGAAAGAGGAUAGAGGAAUUCCUAGUGUAGAGGUGAAAUUCGUAAAUAUUAGGAGGAACACCAGUGGCGAAGGCGUCUAUCUGGUUCAAAUCUGACGCUGAGGCGCGAAGGCGUGGGGAGCAAACA